rnacentral:rRNA from 2 species
ACCUUCGCAAUGCGCGAAAGCGUGACGAGGUUAAUCCGAGUGGCCUCCGCUGAGGAGGUCUUUUGUCAGCUGUAAAUAGGCGGGCGAAUAAGGGGAGGGCAAGCCUGGUGUCAGCCGCCGCGGUAAUACCAGCUCCUCGAGUGGUCGGGGCGAUUAUUGGGCCUAAAGCAUCCGUAGCCGGUUCCGUAGGUCCUCUGUUAAAUCCAUCCGCUUAACGGAUGACCUGCAGAGGAUACCGCGGGACUAGGAGGCGGGAGAGGCGGACGGUACUCCGCGUGUAGGGGUAAAAUCCUUUGAUCCGCGGAAGACCACCAGUGGCGAAGGCGGUCCGCCAGAACGCGCUCGACGGUGAGGGAUGAAAGCUGGGGGAGCGAACCGGAUUAGAUACCCGGGUAGUCCCAGCUGUAAACGAUGCAGACUCGGUGAUGGGCUAGCCUCGUGUCAGCCCAGUGCCGCAGGGAAGCCGUUAAGUCUGCCGCCUGGGGAGUACGGUCGCAAGGCUGAAACUUAA